UGGCAGGUUCCAAGAUGCUUCUGUGCGGUC
rnacentral:piRNA from 1 species